UGAUGCUGGUGAGGAGUCCUUCUCUUUGCAUUGUGCUCGCCUCCUACAAUUUCUAUCCAAACACCUGUGCACCCAUUUGUGAGAGGGUGUUCCGGACNUCUAUCCCAUAGAUGCACUGGAAAUGUCCCUUUCCUCAUAAAUUUAUACACUGCUUUACAAUGUUGAACGUGUCUGUGCCGAUAGGCCAUAAUAAAAUUACAACUUUUAACAACGGAUCUCUUGGCUCUCGCAUCGAUGAAGAACGCAGCGAAAUGCGAUAAGUAAUGUGAAUUGCAGAAUUCAGUGAAUCAUCGAAUCUUUGAACGCACCUUGCGCUCCCUGGUAUUCCUAGGAGCAUGCCUGUUCGAGUGUCGUGAAAUUCUCAAAUCCGAGAUUGCUUUCCUCACGAAAGUGGUUUCAGAUUUGGUUUUGGACUUUGCUGUGUCCCUUCAUUGGGAAUGGCUUGUCUUAAAAGCAUUAGCGUGCCUAAUGUAGAGAUUGGUUCUACUCUGCGUAAUAAAUCAUUUGAUCGCAGAGGACAUCUUUCAUGGGAUGGCCAGUAUCUAUUUGGGUUGCUUCUAAUAUUGUGCUGRAGUGGAUCUUUGUCUGCUCUCACAUUUUUCAAGUUUGACCUCGAAUCAGGUGGGACUACCCGCUGAACUUAAGCAUAUCAAUAAGCGGAGGAAAAGAAACUAACAAGGAUUCCCCUAGUAACGGCGAGUGAAGCGGGAAAGCUCAAUUUAAAUCUGACAGUCUUCGAUG
rnacentral:rRNA from 1 species